GGGUUCAGUGGAAGAAUUCCAAGGCCAAGAACGAAGCGUCAUCCUCAUCUCCACCGUGCGAAGCAGUCAGAGCUUUGUGCAGCUGGAUCUGGACUUUAAUCUGGGUUUCCUUAAGAACCCCAAGAGGUUCAAUGUAGCUGUGACCCGGGCCAAGGCCCUGCUCAUCAUCGUGGGGAACCCCCUUCUCCUGGGCCAUGACCCUGACUGGAAAGUAUUCCUGGAGUUCUGUAAAGAAAACGGAGGGUAUACCGGGUGUCCCUUCCCUGCCAAACUGGACCUGCAACAGGGACAGAAUUUACUGCAAGGUCUGAGCAAGCUCAGCCCCUCUACCUCAGGUAUGGCUGGGCCAGGGUGGGCCAGGUUGGGGACAGUGCCAGAGGAGGUGGUAAGGAAGACAAAGUGUACUUUCUUUCUUUCCAGGGCCCCAUAGUCAUGACUACCUCCCCCAGGAGCGGGAGGGUGAAGGGGGCCUGUCUCUGCAAGUGGAGCCAGAGUGGAGGAAUGAGCUCUGAAGACACAGCACCCAGCCUUCUCGCACCAGCCAAGCCUUAACUGCCUGCGUGACCCUGAACCAGAACCCAGCUGAGCCGCCCCUCCAAGGGACAGGAAGGCUGGGGGAGGGAGUUUACAACCCAAGCCAUUCCACCCCCUCCCCUGCUGGGGAGAAUGACACAUCAAGCUGCUAACAAUUGGGGGAAAGGGGAGGAAGAAAACUCUGAAAACAAAAUCU
rnacentral:sRNA from 1 species